rnacentral:pre_miRNA from 1 species
AGGAGGAACAGCCCCAGUGGCGGGGCAGCUCUGGAAACCGGGAUUCAGCUCCGGCAGGAACUCCGUCUGCAGGGCCUGGAGGCUCCGGGGCGGG